rnacentral:ncRNA from 2 species
UCUGGUGCUAAUACAUGCGAUUGUUUCUCCAGAUGUGAAUUAUGAGGAAAAGUUGACCUCAUCAGAGGCACGCCAUUCGACUGAGUGACCUAUCAGCUUGUACUUAGGGUCUUUACCUAGGUAGGCUAUCACGGGUAACGGGCGGUUACCGUCGGACUGCCGGAGAAGGCGCCUGAGAGAUAGCGACUAUAUCCACGGGUAGCAGCAGGCGCGAAACUUUCCCACUCGAGACUUUCGGAGGAGGUAAUGACCAGUUCCAUUGGUGCCUUUUGGUACUGUGGAUAGGGGUACGGUUUUCCACCGUACCGAAACCUAGCAGAGGGCCAGUCUGGUGCCAGCAGCUGCGGUAAUUCCAGCUCUGCGAGUUUGCUCCCAUAUUGUUGCAGUUAAAACGCCCGUAGUCUGAAUUGGCCAGCAAUGGUCGUACGUAUUUUUACGUUCACUGUGAACAAAUCAGGACGCUUAGAGUAUGGCCACAUGAAUGACUCAGCGCAGUAUGAAGUCUUUGUUUUCUUCCGAAAACAAGCUCAAUGAGAGCCAUCGGGGGUAGAUCUAUCUCAUGACGAGUGGUGGAAUACUUUGACUCAUGAGAGAGAAGCUGAGGCGAAGGCGUCUACCUAGAGGGUUUCUGUCGAUCAAGGGCGAGAGUAGGAGUAUCCAACAGGAUUAGAGACCCUGGUAGUUCCUACCUUAAACGAUGCCGACAGGAGUUUGUCAUUUGUUAAUGGCAGAAUCUUUGGAGAAAUCAUAGUUCUUGGGCUCUGGGGGAACUACGACCGCAAGGCUGAAACUUGAAGGAAUUGACGGAAGGGCACACCAGGGGUGGAGCCUGUGGCUUAAUUUGAAUCAACACGGGGAAACUUACCAGGACCAGAUGUUUUUUAUGACUGACAGGCUUCGGGU